UACGAAGGGUGCAAGCGUUACUCGGAAUUACUGGGCGUAAAGCGUGCGUAGGUGGUUUGUUAAGUCUGUUGUGAAAGCCCCGGGCUCAACCUGGGAAUGGCAAUGGAAACUGGCGAGCUAGAGUACGAAAGAGGAUCGCGGAAUUCCCGGUGUAGAGGUGAAAUUCGUAGAUAUCGGGAGGAACACCGGUGGCGAAGGCGGCGAUCUGGGUCGAUACUGACGCUGAGGUGCGAAAGCGUGGGGAGCAAACAGG
rnacentral:rRNA from 1 species